rnacentral:rRNA from 1 species
UACAGAGGGUGCGAGCGUUGUUCGGAAUUACUGGGCGUAAAGCGCGCGCAGGCGGCCUUUUAAGUCUCACCGUUCAAGCCCGGAGCUCAACUCCGGUCCGCGGGGGAUACUGGGAGGCUAGGGACAUGUAGGGGCGAGCGGAAUUCCGGGUGUAGCGGUGGAAUGCGUAGAGAUCCGGAAGAACACCGGGGGGCGAAGGCGGCUCGCUGGGCAUGGUCCGACGCUGAGGCGCGAAAGCGUGGGGAGCGAACGAGG